rnacentral:RNase_P_RNA from 1 species
CGGAUGGGCCGGGUGAUCGCUGGUUCCGAUUCAUCGGAACGGGAGGAAAGUCCGGACACCGUGGCGCGGGCCGCAAGGCUGCGCGCUAAAGGGUAACGCGCCUGGUAACGCCAGGGGGCCGGGUUGGCGACGAUCCGGUCACGGACAGUGCCACAGAGAAGAUACCGCCGGCGAUGAUGAGCACGGUGACAGCUCGAAGGAAAACCUUCGAGACGUCUUCGCAAAGCUCGCGGCGCAUGGUAAGGGUGAAAAGGUGGGGUAAGAGCCCACCGCCCCGGUGGCGACAUCGGGGGCACGGCAAACCCCGCGUGGUGCAAGGCCAAAUAGGAGGGGAGGGCUGGCCCGGCCCGAAUAUCCGGAGUGCGCGCAAGCGGACGACGGGUUGCGACCCUCGGGUAGGCUGCUGGAGCCGCGGCGCGAGCCGCGGCCUAGAGGAAUGAUCGCCGCGGCAUGCAGGCCGAUGUUUGGACGCAUGCCGCACAGAAUCCGGCUUACAGGCCCAUCCGCCAA